UAGAGGAUAGUAUAAUUGGAAGUACGUGGGGAUUUGGACCCCAUGGUGUGGGUUCGUAGCCCAUUGUUCUAG
rnacentral:tRNA from 1 species